CAUGCCUGUCGCCUCCUUCUCCUGGUGUCCAUUUCUGGAACUGCUAUUUGUAUAUUGCAUGAUAUUUUAUCAAGAAAAAAAAAAACAGAUCUAAUUUCAUGAAAAUGCUGUUGCCAUAAUGCUCAGGAGAACAGGGGGAAGAGAGAGAUUCAAGUCUUCCUAAUGUCUACCUUGUAUGCAGGUCUGAUCCCUGGUGCUAAGGAUCUGAAGUGUGAAGUAAGACCUGGGUCUUCUGGAUUUUGCAGUUCUCUGCUUCAUUAGGGCCAGGAACUUGUCAGAGCCCAGAGAGAGCCUGAGUGGUGACGUUCAAAGGGAGAAGAUAAGCCUGGACUCCUUGGAAAGGAUGUUAGAGGAAGACGAGAAUCAUAUUGAAUGUAUGGCCCAGGCAAAUUGAACAUGAUCUCAUCUUAACUUGAUGACAUCUACAAAGACUCCAUUUCCAAAUAA